rnacentral:rRNA from 1 species
UACGAAGGGGGCUAGCGUUGCUCGGAAUCACUGGGCGUAAAGGGCGCGUAGGCGGCCAUUCAAGUCAGGGGUGAAAGCCUGUGGCUCAACCACAGAAUUGCCUUUGAUACUGUUUGGCUAGAGACCGGAAGAGGUAAGUGGAACUGCGAGUGUAGAGGUGAAAUUCGUAGAUAUUCGCGAGAACACCAGUGGCGAAGGCGGCUUACUGGUCCGGUUCUGACGCUGAGGCGCGAAAGCGUGGGGAGCAAACAGG